rnacentral:rRNA from 1 species
AACGAACGCUGGCGGCAUGCCUAACACAUGCCAGUCGAACGAGACCUUCUGUAUUAGUGGCUCACGGGUUCUUAACGCGUUCUAACCUGGCCUGAGGGUGUGAAGAACGCGUCGACUGCGUUGCUAAGACGGGUAAAUAUCUGCGGUCGAAACUUUUAUCGCCUUUGGAUGGACCCGCGUUGGAUUAGCUAGUUGGUAGGGUAAAAGCCUACCAAGGCGACGAUCCAUAGCUGGUCUGAGAGGGUGAUCGGCCACACUGGGACUGAGACACGGCCCAGACUCCUACGGGAGGCAGCAGUGGGGAAUAUUGGACAAUGGGCGAAAGCCUGAUCCAGCGAUGCCGCGUGAGUGAUGAAGGCUUUCGGGUUGUAAAGCUCUAUCAGCAGGGAUGAUAAUGACGGUACCGGGCGAAUAAGCUCCGGCUAACUACGUG